UUCUAAUAGAAUACUAACAAUGCUCUAAUUAGACCAUAAUAAUGCUAAGCAAGCUUAAUCAAAUUUUAAAAAUUUGAAAUAAAUUUCAAACAAAUAAUAAGAAUUCUAAAAGAAAUAUUAAAAAGAUCACAAAUAUCACUCAAAUACAUCUCAAUUCAAUCUUAAUUUAAUUCUAGUUAAAAUCUUAUUGAAGUUCAUUCAAACUUUAGCCCAAAAGUAAUUGAAUCUUAAAUCCUAAUAAAAUCCUAAAUCCUAAAUCAAACCCUAAACAAACCUUAAACCAAAUCCUAAUCAAAUCCUAAACCAAAUCCUAAGCCAAACCCUAAAUCCUAAAUCAAAUCCUAAUCAAAUCCUAAUCCAAAUCCUAAAUCCUAAACCAUAUCCUAAUCCAAAUUCUAAAUCCUAAACCAAAUUCUAACUAAAUCUUAAACCCUAAAUCAAACCCUAAUCAAAUCCUAAACCUUAAAUAAAAUUCAAAUCAAAUCCUAAUCCAAAUCCUAAAUCCUAUCCUAAAUCCUAAACCAAAUCCUAUCCAAAUCCUAAACCGAAUCCUAAUCCUAAACCAAUUCCUAACCAAACCCUAGUAAUUCAUACAACAAAUUUAAACCU
rnacentral:lncRNA from 1 species